GAUGAACGCUAGCUACAGGCUUAACACAUGCAAGUCGAGCGACCGGCGCACGGGUGAGUAACACGUAUCCAACCUUCCCUGUACUCGGGGAUAGCCUUUCGCAAGAACGAUUAAUACCCGAUAUAAAGGAUGGGGUUGCGUUCCAUUAGGUUGUUGGUAAGGGAACGGCCAACCAAGGCUUCGAUGGAUAGGGGUUCGGAUAGGAAGGCCCCCUAGAUCGGAAAUGAGACACGGACCAAACCCCGAGGGGGCGCAGGGGUGAGGUAUACAGGGCAAUGGGCGUUAGCCUAAACCAGCCGCGUAGCGUGAAGGAUGAAGGCGUAUGGGUCGUAAACUUCUUGGAUAUAAGAGUAGUUAUUAUAUGAAUAAGGACCGGCUAACUCCGUGCCAGCAGCCGCGGUAAUUC
rnacentral:rRNA from 1 species